rnacentral:rRNA from 1 species
AUGGAGAUGGGCAGCUUCCCCUUCUUCUACGUCGCCGCCAUCACCUUUCUCACCGCCCUUUUGCUCCGCUCCUUCCUCACCAAGAAGCGGCGACGGCUUCCACCGGGCCCGGCGCUGGCGGUCCCGUUCCUUGGCCACCUCCCCUUCCUCAAGAAGCCGCUGCACGCCACGCUCGCGCGCCUCGCCGCGCGCCACGGCCCGGUCUUCUCCCUCCGCCUCGGCUCGCGCCCCGCCGUCGUCGUCACCUCGGCGGAGCUCGCCAGGGAGUGCUUCUCCUCCGACCUCGACGCCACGCUCGCCAACCGCCCGCACUUCCCGUCCGUGCGGGAGGUCUCCUUCGACUACACCGUGCUCACCCUCGCCAACUACGGCGCCCACUGGCGCGCCGCGCGCCGCGUCGCCGUCGUGCACCUCCUCUCCGCGCGCCGCGUCGACCUCAUGUCCGACGCCGUCGUAGCCCGCGAGCUGCGAGCCCUGGUGCGCCGCCUCGCGCGCCUUACCGCCGGCGGUGCCACGGCGAGGGUGGAGCUGAAGCGGCGGCUGUUCGACCUCUCCCACAGCGUCCUCAUGGAGGCCCUCGCGCGGAGCAGGAACACCUACUCCGACGACGGAGCGGACAUGUCCCAGGAGGCGCGGGAGAUGAAGGACGUCGUGGACGCCACCGUGCCGCUCGUCGGUGUCGCCAACCUGUGGGACUACCUGCCGGUGCUACGCUGGUUCGACUGGCGAGGCGUCGCGCGGCAGCUGGCGGACACAACCAGCCGGAGGAACGCCUUCAUCUACAAGCUCAUCGACAGGGAGAGGCAGAAGCAGCAGGCCGCCGCCGACAAGCAGGAGGAGGAGGAGCAGGGCAUGAUCGGCGUCAUGCUCUCGCUGCAGAAGUCAGAGCCCGGCCUCUACACGGACACUUUCAUCGCCGCCCUCGUCGCCAAUCUUCUUGGCGUCGGGACAGAGACGACGUCGACGACGACGGAAUGGGCGAUGGGGCUCCUGCUGAACCACCCGGCGGUGCUGAAGAAGGCACAGGAAGAGAUCGACGCGCACCUCAGCGGCGAGCCGAGCCGCCUCCUCGACAAGAAGGACCUGCCCCACCUUCCUUACCUCCACUGCAUCAUCAGCGAGACGCUGCGGCUGUGCCCGGCCGCGCCGCUGCUGCUACCACACGAGGCCGCCGCCGACUGCCAGCUCCACGGGUACGACGUCGCCGCGGGCACCAUAGUGCUCGUCAACGCGUACGCCAUCCACCGCGACCCGGCUGAGUGCGGACCGGCGCCCGAGGAGUUCAGGCCGGAGAGGUUCGAGCAUGGCAGCGCCGAUGGGAAGCUCAUGAUGUCCUUCGGGAUGGGAAGGCGCAAGUGCCCCGGGGAGAGCCUCGCCAUGAGGACCAUGGGUAUGGUUCUUGGCACGCUCAUCCAGUGCUUCGAUUGGGCAAGGGUCGGGGAUGAAGAGGUCGACAUGGCCGCCAGUUCCGGAAUCGUCAUGUUCAAGGCCGUUGCUCUGGAAGCUCUCUGCCACACCGCGAGCCGGCAUGGAGACUCUUCUCCAGAAGCUCUAAACUGA